rnacentral:lncRNA from 1 species
UCACCGUGUUAGCCAGGAUGGUCUCAAUCUUCUAACCUCAUGAUCUGCCCACCUCGGCCUCGCAAAGCGCUGGGAUUACAGGCGUGAGCCUCCGCGACCGGCCAGAACUAGCUCUUCUUAAGGAUGUGACAGUGAUCUGCACUAGAGCUUCAGGCAGCUAAGGUGCAGCCCUUGUUUGGCCUGGUAACAUCUACUUCCCACUUCGGCGAAGUGCAACUAUUCUGAGAGCCCCCAUGCUAUGAGAAGUCCAAGCCACAUGAAGCGGCCCUAGGGGCUCCAGUGCUAGGUAUAGAACAAGAAAAGCUCCAGAGCAUUUGAGAGACUGUGAGGAAAGACACCACCUGGGAAGUGCAUGUUCCAGAUCUCAUUACCC